rnacentral:rRNA from 5 species
AAAUUGAAGAGUUUGAUCAUGGCUCAGAUUGAACGCUGGCGGCAGGCCUAACACAUGCAAGUCGAACGGUAACAGGAAGCAGCUUGCUGCUUUGCUGACGAGUGGCGGACGGGUGAGUAAUGUCUGGGAAACUGCCUGAUGGAGGGGGAUAACUACUGGAAACGGUAGCUAAUACCGCAUAACGUCGCAAGACCAAAGAGGGGGACCUUCGGGCCUCUUGCCAUCGGAUGUGCCCAGAUGGGAUUAGCUAGUAGGUGGGGUAACGGCUCACCUAGGCGACGAUCCCUAGCUGGUCUGAGAGGAUGACCAGCCACACUGGAACUGAGACACGGUCCAGACUCCUACGGGAGGCAGCAGUGGGGAAUAUUGCACAAUGGGCGCAAGCCUGAUGCAGCCAUGCCGCGUGUAUGAAGAAGGCCUUCGGGUUGUAAAGUACUUUCAGCGGGGAGGAAGGGAGUAAAGUUAAUACCUUUGCUCAUUGACGUUACCCGCAGAAGAAGCACCGGCUAACUCCGUGCCAGCAGCCGCGGUAAUACGGAGGGUGCAAGCGUUAAUCGGAAUUACUGGGCGUAAAGCGCACGCAGGCGGUUUGUUAAGUCAGAUGUGAAAUCCCCGGGCUCAACCUGGGAACUGCAUCUGAUACUGGCAAGCUUGAGUCUCGUAGAGGGGGGUAGAAUUCCAGGUGUAGCGGUGAAAUGCGUAGAGAUCUGGAGGAAUACCGGUGGCGAAGGCGGCCCCCUGGACGAAGACUGACGCUCAGGUGCGAAAGCGUGGGGAGCAAACAGGAUUAGAUACCCUGGUAGUCCACGCCGUAAACGAUGUCGACUUGGAGGUUGUGCCCUUGAGGCGUGGCUUCCGGAGCUAACGCGUUAAGUCGACCGCCUGGGGAGUACGGCCGCAAGGUUAAAACUCAAAUGAAUUGACGGGGGCCCGCACAAGCGGUGGAGCAUGUGGUUUAAUUCGAUGCAACGCGAAGAACCUUACCUGGUCUUGACAUCCACAGAACUUUCCAGAGAUGGAUUGGUGCCUUCGGGAACUGUGAGACAGGUGCUGCAUGGCUGUCGUCAGCUCGUGUUGUGAAAUGUUGGGUUAAGUCCCGCAACGAGCGCAACCCUUAUCCUUUGUUGCCAGCGGUCCGGCCGGGAACUCAAAGGAGACUGCCAGUGAUAAACUGGAGGAAGGUGGGGAUGACGUCAAGUCAUCAUGGCCCUUACGACCAGGGCUACACACGUGCUACAAUGGCGCAUACAAAGAGAAGCGACCUCGCGAGAGCAAGCGGACCUCAUAAAGUGCGUCGUAGUCCGGAUUGGAGUCUGCAACUCGACUCCAUGAAGUCGGAAUCGCUAGUAAUCGUGGAUCAGAAUGCCACGGUGAAUACGUUCCCGGGCCUUGUACACACCGCCCGUCACACCAUGGGAGUGGGUUGCAAAAGAAGUAGGUAGCUUAACCUUCGGGAGGGCGCUUACCACUUUGUGAUUCAUGACUGGGGUGAAGUCGUAACAAGGUAACCGUAGGGGAACCUGCGGUUGGAUCACCUCCUUACCUUAAAGAA